rnacentral:rRNA from 1 species
GACGAACGCUGGCGGCGUGCUUAACACAUGCAAGUCGAACGGAAAGGCCUGCUUUCCCUUGUGGAUUGCGGGUACUCGAGUGGCGAACGGGUGAGUAACACGUGAGUGAUCUGCCCCCAACUUGGGUAUAAGCCUGGGAAACUGGGUCUAAUUCCCGAUAGGACUGCAGGGUGGUGCCUGUGGUGGAAAACGAUUUUCUAGUGGUUGGGGAUGAGCUCGCGGCCUAUCAGCUUGUUGGUGGGGUAAUGGCCUACCAAGGCGGCGACGGGUAGCCGGCCUGAGAGGGUCGACGGCCACAUUGGGACUGAGAUACGGCCCAGACUCCUACGGGAGGCAGCAGUGGGGAAUAUUGCACAAUGGGCGGAAGCCUGAUGCAGCGACGCCGCGUGGGGGAUGACGGCCUUCGGGUUGUAAACUCCUUUCGACCGCGAGGAAGCCACCUGGUUGGAAGGGUGGUGACGGUAGUGGUAGAAGAAGCACCGGCUAACUACGUG